GGACACUUUCAGUUUCAUGAUCUUCUGUGUCUAGUACUCAGAGUUUCAGUACUUCUGUCCAGACCCAGUCAUGUUAGGAGUGUUCCAUGAUUGUUGCUUAGUGCUCCGUUCACUAAAGAGUGCUUUGGGGAACCUGAUAGGUCCAGAGGAUCUCAGCAGAUAGCUUGAGAGCUGGAAGGAAGUAAAAAUCUGAUCUCCUUGAGGAAUGCCUUUUAAGGGAGACCUUGUCUAAGCACACUGGCCAGAGACAGACUGGGGAGCCUGUGUGUCCACCAGCCCCUGGCUCUGCUGGUCGCU
rnacentral:lncRNA from 1 species